rnacentral:pre_miRNA from 1 species
ACAACAUUUGGACCGUUAGUCUGUCGAGCAAUAUCACCCGCUCGGUGGAAGAUCUUCCCUUUGUCGU